rnacentral:lncRNA from 1 species
ACUCUACCGUCUCAAGAAACACUUUGAGAAGAUUAAGGAGAAAUUCGCCCCCACGAAUUUCGCUAAUUCCGGGCAUUAUCCGGGUCACGCUUCAAGAGAAAAGUAUCGAUUUUAUGUUCGAUUAAAAUAUAUAAUAUGUGUUGUUUCCUUGUCUGCAGCUUCCCAUCAAAGACACACAACUUGUUCAUAAUUGGGGUCAUUAAACUCUGGGAGCAAGCAUUAGAAAUAUGGGUUUGUAGGACUUAGUAAUUUUGCGUACAGGAAACAAGUUGAUUUUUUUCUCAUGUGAUGUACAAUCAUCUCCUUAUUUCGCGGGAUAACGCGGUAGAAUUUCUAUACGGAAAAUAGAAGAGAUGAUAUCAUCAUAAAGUAAUGCAACGGGAUGCAAACUCAAGAGGUAUAUUCGAUAUCACAACAUUUAUUGGUAUACCUUAAAGGUAAGUAAUUUA